rnacentral:rRNA from 1 species
CCUACGGGAGGCAGCAGUGGGGAAUAUUGCACAAUGGGGGAAACCCUGAUGCAGCGACGCCGCGUGAGUGAAGAAGUAACUCGUUAUGUAAAGCUCUAUCAGCAGGGAAGAAACUGACGGUACCUGAGUAAGAAGCCCCGGCUAACUACGUGCCAGCAGCCGCGGUAAUACGUAGGGGGCAAGCGUUAUCCGGAUUUACUGGGUGUAAAGGGAGCGUAGACGGCAGUGCAAGUCUGGAGUGAAAGGCGGGGGCUCAACCCCCGGACUGCUCUGGAAACUGUACGGCUGGAGUGCAGGAGAGGUAAGUGGAAUUCGUAGUGUAGCGGUGAAAUGCGUAGAUAUUAGGAAGAACACCAGUGGCGAAGGCGGCUUACUGGACUGUAACUGACGUUGAGGCUCGAAAGCGUGGGGAGCGAACAGGAUUAGAUACCCCGGUAGUC